UACGUAGGGUGCGAGCGUUAAUCGGAAUUACUGGGAGUAAAGCGUGCGCAGGCGGAUUGGUAAGACAGAUGUGAAAUUCCCGGGCUUAACCUGGGAACUGCAUUUGUGACUGCCAGGCUAGAGUGCGGAAGAGGGGAGUGGAAUUCCGCGUGUAGCAGUGAAAUGCGUAGAUAUGCGGAGGAACACCGAUGGCGAAGGCAACUCCCUGGGCCUGCACUUACGCUCAUGCACGAAAGUGUGGGGAUCAAACAGG
rnacentral:rRNA from 1 species